rnacentral:rRNA from 1 species
CAGUAGCCGCGGUAACACGUAGGGUCCGAGCGUUGUCCGGAAUUACUGGGCGUAAAGAGCUCGUAGGUGGUUUGUCGCGUUGUUCGUGAAAACUCACAGCUCAACUGUGGGCGUGCGGGCGAUACGGGCAGACUAGAGUACUGCAGGGGAGACUGGAAUUCCUGGUGUAGCGGUGGAAUGCGCAGAUAUCAGGAGGAACACCGGUGGCGAAGACGGGUCUCUGGGCAGUAACUGACGCUGAGGAGCGAAAGCGUGGGGAGCGAACAGGAUUAGAUACCCCGGUAGUCCCUGUCUCUUAUAC